rnacentral:rRNA from 1 species
AUUGAACGCUGGCGGCAUGCUUUACACAUGCAAGUCGAACGGGGUGGGGGGCAACUCCCAUUCAGUGGCGAACGGGUGAGUAGUGCAUCGGAACGUAUCCCGUAGUGGGGGACAACGCCGCGAAAGCGGCGCUAAUACCGCAUAUGCUCUACGGAGGAAAGUGGGGGACCGCAAGGCCUCACGCUAUGGGAGCGGCCGAUGUCCGAUUAGCUAGUUGGUGGGGUAAUGGCCCACCAAGGCGACGAUCGGUAGCUGGUCUGAGAGGAUGAUCAGCCACACUGGGACUGAGACACGGCCCAGAGUCCUACGGGAGGCAGCAGUGGGGAAUUUUCCACAAUGGGCGAAAGCCUGAUGGAGCAACGCCGCGUGUGUGAUGAAGGUUUUCGGAUCGUAAAGCACUUUCGACUGGGACGAAAAACCUUUGGCUAACAUCCAGGGGCCUGACGGUACCAGGAGAAGAAGCACCGGCUAACUCUGUGCCAGCCGCCGCAGUAACAC